AUACGGAGGGUGCAAGCGUUACUCGGAAUCACUGGGCGUAAAGCGCGCGCAGGCGGCUAUUUAAGUUGGAUGUGAAAGCCUACGGCUCAACCGUAGAACUGCAUCCAAAACUAUUUAGCUAGAGUGUGGGAGAGGAAGAUGGAAUUAGUUGUGUAGGGGUAAAAUCCGUAGAGAUAACUAGGAAUACCAAAAGCGAAGGCAAUCUUCUGGAACACUACUGACGCUGAGGCGCGAAAGCGUGCGGAGCAAACGGGAUUAGAAACCCUAGUAGUCC
rnacentral:rRNA from 1 species